GUUUUAAUAGUUUAAAAAUAAAACACUGGUCUUGUAAAUCAGAAUUGAUUUAAUAUCUUAAAACU
rnacentral:tRNA from 1 species